GGUGAAGCUGACAGCUCAUGAAUAUCGAGGAUUGCAGAGAUCAUGCUCACAUCAUUGAGAAGACUCCUGGCUCAGCGUGCACUACACCUCAUAAACUACUGAAAGAAAACAAUACGCAUCAUGGCCACGUCACAAGCACCACACGUUUGUAUGCUUAGAAGGAUAAUUCUGAUCUCGGCCGUGGAAGGCUGAGAUGGGAUGAAACCUUUAAGGAAUUUAAAAUCUACAGGCAACCGAGCAGCAGACAGGUGGUGUGUAGUCAGCGACAGUCUGGAAAUAGAAAAGCAGAAUAACAAAGUCCUAAAAUGCCUGGAGUGAUGGAAGAAGAGGUAAAUGACAGGUAAUGUGAAAGCUCAUGGUUAACGUAAGAGCAUACUUCAUAUGAUAAUUUGUCACAUAAAAUAUACCCAUUUGUAUUGUAAAAUCUAAAGCUGGGAAACCACAGUCGGUGGUGGGAAGAACUAGGAAAAUCAGCAGAAUAAACGUGUCAGCAAAUCCACCUCUGUGGGCAUGAAACGAAUCUUUACAAGACGGUAUUGUUCAUAUGUGGCUGGAAAUAGGGAAUUAUUUAUAGUUAUCCUACCAAAAAUAUUCCUAUGCAAUUAAUAUGGCAUUUCAAACUAUGAGCUAUUGCAAUAUGCACGCAAUAAAAAUAUUUUUAAUAUGCAUUGCAUUUUCCUCAUUGGUAGUGCCCCCUGCUGUUUAUACUUCUGGUCCACCUCCUGCAUUCAGUGGUGCACACUCAGUGGCUUCACUGCUCCCUUCCGUGCUGGCGUACUGCUGUCAUAGAGAAGCAGGGGAAUUGGUACAGGCACAUUUAAUUCAUUCAUCCCUAUUUCUAAAUUCAUAGAAAUAUAUUGUUCUCUCUCUCUAGACCAGGGAUCAGCAACCUCUGGCACUCCAGCUGUGGUGAAACUACGACUCCCAGCAUGCUCAAUUCACAUCUCUGGGAGUUCUGAGAAUGGCCAAGGAGGUGUGCAUGCUGGGAGUUGUAGUUUCACCACAGCAGGAGUGCUGAAAGUUGCUGAUCCCUGCUCUAGACAGUGGAGAAGUAAAUUUCGGAGAGCCAUACAUGCCAUAUGUAUCUCUGGGGCUAUAAGUGAGGGACUAUUUUCAAUGCAGAUGAGAAAGGGGUUAACAAUAGCUAAGUGCAGUGCAUCCUGGGGGUCUCCAACCAACAAAGAUGUAGACAGUGGAUUCUGACCAGUUACUCCCUAAGGCCUCAUGCACACGAUCGUAUGUAUUUUGCAGUCCGCCAACCGCGGAUCUGCAAAAUACUGAUACCAGCCUUGUGAAUCCUGUAGUUUCCACCAGCCUCAUUGUCAAAAUGCCUUUUCUUGUCUGGAAAAUGGACAAGAAUACGACAUGAUUUAUUUUUUGCAGGACAGACAUACGGGUGCACACAGCACACUCUUUUUGCGGCCCCAUUGAAAUUAAUGGGUCCACAUACAAUCCGUAAAAAAUGUGGAUUUGAUGCAGAAAAAAAAAAUUGGUCCUGUGCACGAGGACUUAGUCACUAAAGUUUUAAGCUUUAGUGUUAAUUCAGACAGAGGUCUGUCCUUGCUAUUUUUUCUUUUUACAUUUCACAGCAAGGAUCAAGGACAAACCUCCAUACUUUUCCUUUCCUCCAGCUUUUAAUUUUUAAAAAAUAAAGGGAAAAUAGACAUUCCAGAAUUUAAUGAGGCCAAAGCAAGCAACAAUUUCAGGCAAUCAUCUAACAAUAUAAAGCAAUAGAAAAAUGAUUGCAAGGAACUAUUCAUCUCCGACAUCCACCCUCUUUGUACCUCCACAGAGAAUUUGUGAUUGUGCAGGUCUGAGGUCACUUUUGCCUAAUCAUUAUAUAGUGGUCACUAGUAGUAGUAUGUGCUAAGUUGUUUCAGUAUCUCAUCCUUAGCCUAAUGUUAAUUACACGGUCAUAUUUCAGGUCUAUCUUCAUUAUGUAGAUUUGUUUGCCCAAUCUAACCUGUUUUGCAUUUUACAAAAUAUACUGAAUACAUAAGGAACAGAGAUCUCAUAUACUGUGGUAUGUACUUAUGAUAAUUUCAGCCUAUUUUGAAAGGAGCUGGGCUUUUGUUCCAGUUCCAUAGAAAAAACUUUUGAAGUUUUGGACUGUGCAAUAAUAGUUUGUCCAUACAAGCUGAUUAGCAGACCAUAAUGCUGGCUGUUCUAACCAAACAUUAGGACAUGGAUGGCCAGCUCUGCUGCCUAAACUGCAGUCUUCAGUAUGAGAUUCAGUAUGUGAUUCGCAAGGAUUAAAAUAAAUUAAAUCAUUUGCCAAUAUCACAUAAAAUCUUGUUAAAGUAUUAACCGCCUUGGUGUUUCGUUUGCUUCUGCAUUACAACAUGGAAUUAACAUGGAUUUUAUCAAUAUUUUAUCUAGUGGACCUAAAAUCUAAAGUGUUAGGGCUUAUUCAGUCAGUUUUUUUACAGACAGUUCAGCAUGUCCGCAAAAAAACUAAUUGCAUUCCGUUUUCUUGCUGAUCCAUUGACUUCAAUAGGGCAAUGUCCUGAUUUUCACGGACAAGUAUAGCACAUG